rnacentral:rRNA from 1 species
AUCGAACGCUGGCGGCAGGCCUAACACAUGCAAGUCGAACGAGUGGCGGACGGGUGAGUAAUGCGUGGGAAACUGCCUGAUGGAGGGGGAUAACUACUGGAAACGGUAGCCAAUACCGCAUACUAUCAGAUGUGCCCAGACGGGAUUAGCUAGUUGGUGGGGUAACGGCUCACCAAGGCGACGAUCCCUAGCUGGUCUGAGAGGAUGACCAGCCACACGGGAACUGGACCACGGUCCAGACUCCUACGGGAGUCAGCAGUGGGGAAUAUUGCACAAUGGGCGCAAGCCUGCUGCAGCCAUGCCGCGUGUAUGAAGAAGGCCUUCGGGUUGUAAAGUACUUUCAGCGGGGAGGCGUUACCCGCAGAGGAAGCACCGGCUAACUCCGUGCCAGCAGCCGCGGUAAUUC